rnacentral:rRNA from 1 species
UACAGAGGGUGCUAGCGUUGUUCGGAAUCAUUGGGCGUAAAGGGCGUGUAGGCGGUUUGUUAAGUCAUGUGUGAAAGCCCCCGGCUUAACCGGGGAACGACGCAUGAAACUGGCAAGCUAGAGUACCGAAGAGGGGGGUGGAAUUCCCGGUGUAGCGGUGGAAUGCGUAGAGAUCGGGAAGAACAUCAGUGGCGAAGGCGGCCUGCUGGGCUGUUGCUGACGCUGAGGCGCGGACAGCGUGGGGAGCAAACAGG